AGAGAAUGGGGAGCACACCCAAGCCUGAGACAACAGCUCUGCUAAGUGCCCUUGAGAGGGCACGGUGGGGUCAGCACCAAAGCCAGACCACUAAAGAGAAAAAGAGAGAAAGACAGGAUUGCAGAGGAGAAAUGAGAAUGGCAGAAAAAAUAAUUUUUUAAGCCAAAAGGAAUCAGAGAAGAGCAGAAGUGCCUCUAGGAUAAAGCGUAGCAGGCAGUUAGGGAAAAAGGGCUGUUAAUUACCUUGAAGCUCUGACUACAUUAGAAAGCCUCGCAAGACAGUCGUUGCUUGCACGGGCAGGGGUGGUUGGCAAUAAGGAUGGGUGGGAGAGAAAAAAAAACAGAAUUUGAGGAGGAGAGCAUUUAAACCCUCAGACUGUGUGUUCUGUGACAUCAAAGACUGGCAACAUUCUAAAGGAAAAGCAGCUGUGAAGUCAUAAUUAUGUUCACUUCCCACUGGCAACUGGCAAGCCCUUUAUUUUUGUGCAUUCGGAACUCACCAAGAAUAAAUAAAGUCCAUUCCCUCCUUGAGGGGCUAUUCUGCCAUUCCAUCUAGGAUUUAAAAGUUUGCCAAUUCCUAAAACAUCUAUUGUUAUCAAUAGUCUUGUGUCUUUCACAAAGCGGACUUUACAAAAUAAGGAAGCUUCUGCUCAGAAAAUGUGAAAGAAAUAAUCUAUCUCAAGACCUUGCUGUUCUUGACUGUUCAAAAAUUCUUUAAAUAAAAUAUAAUAUGGAAGCUGUGCUCUGCAUGUCGAGACCAUUUCACUGUUGAGCCUUCACAGCCAGAAAACAGGCUCAAAAUAAUUAGACUUGAACAAAAUCACAUUAUUUACUUUUUGCUUUAAUAAGGAGGUGAUUAUUAGAAGAUGAACCAUGACUACCAAGAUAGCAGAUGCCAUGUCCAGCCAAAUAAAUGAGACUGAACUUCAUGGUUGUUGUUUUUACUUCAUCCCGGCAAAAGAAAUGAAAUUAAAUAUAAAAAGCAGAUGACCAAAUAAAGUCCAAAUGAAUUAA
rnacentral:lncRNA from 1 species